GCUCGUGUGGUGGAAUUGGUAGACACGCCAUCUUGAGGGGGUGGUGCCCGUUGGGGCGUGGGGGUUCGAAUCCCCCCGCGAGCA
rnacentral:tRNA from 1 species